AACGAACGCUGGCGGCAUGCCUAACACAUGCAAGUCGAACGAGACCUUCGGGUCUAGUGGCGCACGGGUGCGUAACGCGUGGGAACCUGCCCUUAGGUUCGGAAUAACUCCCCGAAAGGGGUGCUAAUACCGGAUAAUGUCUUCGGACCAAAGAUUUAUCGCCUUUGGAUGGGCCCGCGUUGGAUUAGCUAGUUGGUAGGGUAAAAGCCUACCAAGGCGACGAUCCAUAGCUGGUCUGAGAGGAUGAUCAGCCACACUGGGACUGAGACACGGCCCAGAAUCCUACGGGAAGCAGCAGUGGGGAAUAUUGGACAAUGGGGGAAAGCCUGAUCCAGCAAUGCCGCGUGAGUGAUGAAGGCCUUAGGGUUGUAAAGCUCUUUUAACCGGGAUGAUAAUGACAGUACCGGGAGAAUAAGCGCCGGCUAACUCCGUG
rnacentral:rRNA from 1 species